GACGAACGCUGGCAGCGUGCCUAAUAAAUGCAAGUAGGACGCAGUUGCGAACAGGUGCGUAUAGCGUAGGUAACUACCUAUUAGAGGGGGAUAACUAUUGGAAACGAUAGAUAAUACAGCAUACUAGUAGUUGGACCUGCGUUGUAUUAGCUAGUAGGUAGGGUAAUGGCCUAACCAGGACACGAUACAGAGCCGACCUGGUAAUGUGAGCGGCCACACCGAGACUGGGACACGGCCCCUACUCCGACGGGAGGCAGCAGUAGGGAAUCUUCGGCAAUGGGGGGAACCCUUACCGAGCAACGCCGCGGGAGUGUAGAAGGUGGUCGGAUCGUAAAGCUCUGUUGUUAAGGAAGCGGUAUUUAACCAGUAAGGGACGGCUAACUACGUGCCAGCAGCCGCGGUAAUAC
rnacentral:rRNA from 1 species